UGGGGAUGUAGCUCAGUUGGCUAGAGCGUUUGGCUGGCAGCCAAAAGGUCGUGGGUUCGAGCCCCAUCUUCUCCACAAA
rnacentral:tRNA from 1 species